GAAAUCACUACUACCUAAUUGCUUGCGAAUCAUAACCUUGCUUGGCCUUCUCUUUCUUGCCGGUGGGGUCUUCAGCUACAGCAAGCUACUUACCAGAAUUGACAAUGUCUUUACCUUUCUGAACAGGUGGAGUCCUCAGCCAGAGCAGGCUACUUACAAGAAUUGACAACUUCUUUACCUUUCUGAACAGUAACAGAUUUGUGCGAAAAAGGGAUUUUCCUUUCUUGUUGUUGCUGAAUAUCAAGAAGAAUGAGGUGCUGGAGUCCAUGUGGAUGCUGUAAUGACGAAGAUCAAGAUAAUUCAGAGAGAAUAGCACUUAUUUCUCCUGGAGGAGGAACUGAUGCAAUUCCUGACGAUGCUUGGUUGCCUCCUCCCGUGAGUAUAAACUAUUCUAAUCUUGAAGUUGAUACUGAUAAUGAAGUAAACCCAGCCACGGACAUAGCGGAUCACAGUAGCACAUUGCUUUAUACUUCAAGUAGAGAAGGGAUAGUUUGUGAUCCUAUUCAUGAGCGUCAUUUUGACCUUCCCCUCGAGCAGUUCUUGCGCGAUUUGUUGCUGGACAGGCACAUCGAUGUGCUGCGUGCAAUACUGCCACAGAAUCUCAUCAGUACCGGUAUAUAGACCAACAUGGGAAGAUCACUGUACAAAUUAAGUGUCUUCCUCCGGACCAUUGUCUGCCUGUUGAAGCGGGAAGGGAGCUUUGGAUGUGGAGCCAUUGUUUAAGAUGUAAGCAUUCUACGGAAAGAGUGGUGAUGCCAGCUGCAACCCGCCGUUUACCAUUUGGGAAGUCUUUGGAGCUUUUCUUCACAAGCCAUCCCACUUCUACUAACCUACCGAACUAUGAACACCCCAUCCACGAGGAUUAUCUUUACUUUUACGGAUUGGGCCCCAUGGUGACAGCUUUCAAAUACCCGCAACUAAACAUCUACACUCCCUGUGUGCCUCCACCUGAACUGGCGUUCAACAAACAGAACACAGUUUGGAUAGUAGAUGACAUUACUGAGGUGGGAGUACGGGGUAGAAAACUGUUCUUGGAUGUUCAACGGAAGUUGUAGCAAAUUUGCAGCUCUUGUUUGGAUAGUUCAUGUCCGUUACAGGAAUUAGUUAGAGAUAUGCUCAACAAGGAGAACUCGUAUUUUGAGGAUCGCGUUAAAGUAUUUGAGAACAAGCAAGUAGUAGGGUGCACGAUGCAUGAGAUGCUUACCUUGAAUCGCUUAUCCCAAGAACUAGUACUUCAGUCAUAUGUUUGGCAUAUGCGCGUCCAAUUUCUUCAAUCUUUUGAUCACAAAGAGAUUGAAUGUGUAAUAAAGAACAUCGGUAAUGACAGAAUUGAAAGGUCUUCCAUGUUUGGCAGGGGGGAGACAUCAAAGUCCACCUUCAAAGAGCCAUUCAAGUUUGGUGACUUCCAGGAAUGGAUUUGGUGUCCAUUUUCAGAAAUUUGUGAGGCAUACAUUGAAGAUCUUAGGAAAAAUUACAUAGAACGUAUGUUGAAGCCUGAAAUUCUGAAGACAACCACCGAAUUGGUCUCCACAGAUAAAUCGAUUUCAGUUUCCCUUGGAGAAAAUUUGGUUUCGCUCUAUGAUUUAGAACUUACAAGUGCAAUAGCUUGUGCCCUAACCAUGUUAUUCAAUCGACGCGCCUCAUCAACGGUCACAUCUCAUCCAAAGAUCCUAGACACCUCAUCAACGGAGGCAUCUCAUCCAAAGAUCCAUCUUAGAGAUGGAGAAUAUCCAAGAAAGGGUAUAAUUUCCUAGUCUUGUGUGUAUGAGAAAGAGUUCCAUGCUCUUCGAGAUCAAUGUUGUCCAUCUGAAAGUGAUUAUAUAGCUUCGCUGAGCCGCUGUGAAGAUUUUGCGGCUAAAGGAGGCAAAAGUGGUUCAAUGUUUGUGAUGACAAAGGAUGAGAGGCUCAUCGUGAAGCAAAUUCAUAAGAUUGAAUUCGAUUCUUUCAUGGAGUGUGCACCAAGAUAUUUCGGUUACAUAAGCAAAUGUCUUAGCUCAAGCCAUCAUUCGUGCCUUGCGAAAAUUCUUGGGAUAUAUAAGGUAACUGAAAGGCAGGGCGAACGCCGGAAGAAUCGGGAAUGUUUGUUGAUUGUUAUGGAAAACAUCCUGUUUGGUCGUAACGUAGUCCGCUCAUAUGAUCUCAAAGGCACGCAGUUUUCUCGGUACACUCCAAACGCAGAUGGCAGAGAAGUCGGUUUGGAUGGCAACUAUGUUGAAGACAACCAUAUCUCUCCACUGCUUCUGAGCAUAAAUAGCAAACAGGACUUGCUUCAAGCUAUAUUGGCGGAUACACAGUUCCUCGCGUCAAUUAAUGUAAUGGACUAUUCUUUACUCUUGGGAGUAGAUGACCAGAAAAAAUAGCUUGUUUGUGGGAUUAUCGAUUAUCUGAGGCAGUAUACGUGAGACAAGAAGAUUGAGUCGUGUGUAAAGGCUUCUUUUUGCGUUCCGAAGAGUGUCAUGCCUACAGUCAUUUCGCCUGAGAAUUACAAGACAAGGUUUGACGAGUUCAUGCAGGUGCGCAUGAUCUGUCCCCCUCAUCCAGACUAGUUUUUGUGAAUUACACAGAUUUAGUUUACUCAUCCAGACUAGUUUUUGUGAACUUAACUUCUUUGUACUCUAGCCUUAUCAUAUUACUAUCCUAAAGAUUUUUUACCCGGGCUGGAACCCGUCAAUCCGUACCCAGUAUAUGUUAUAGAAUCUGAAGUUUGUAACCAUGACAUUCAAUGGAAUGUAUCUACAACAACAGAGGAGCAAACCAAGGAAGCUAUGAGCUAAAGCCAGAGUAUAGGCGGUCAGUCAAGGAGGAAGAACCCAAUCAAUAAU